rnacentral:rRNA from 1 species
GACGAACGCUGGCGGCGUGCUUAACACAUGCAAGUCGAACGGAAAGGCCCUGCUUUUGUGGGGUGCUCGAGUGGCGAACGGGGGAGUAACACGUGAGGAACCUGCCCUUGACUUUGGGAUAACUUCAGGAAACUGGGGCGAAUACCGGAUAGGAGCUCCUGCUGCAUGGGGGGGGUUGGAAAGUUUCGGCGGUGGGGGCUGGACUCGAGGCUUAUCAGCUUGUUGGGGGGGUAGUGGCUUACGAAGGCUUUGAGGGGUAGCCGGCCUUGGAGGGUGACCGGCCACCUUGGGCCUGCGGUAGGGCCCAGACUCCUACGUGCGGCAGUGGUGGGGAAUAUUACACAACGGGCCGGCGUCUGUUGCGGCAGUGCCGCGUGCGGGAUGACGGCUUUCGAGUUGUGAACCGCUGUCGCAUGUGCCGAAGACUGCGUGACGGUAAUGGGUCAAGAAGCACCGGCUAACUACGUG